CAGUAGCCGCGGGAAUACGAAGGGUGCAAGCGUUAAUCGGAAUUACUGGGCGUAAAGCGUGCGUAGGCUGUGAGUUAAGUCUGCUGUGAAAUCCCCGGGCUCAACCUGGGAAUGGCAUUGGAUACUGGCUCGCUAGAGUUUGUCAGAGGAUGGUGGAAUUCCCGGUGUAGCGGUGAAAUGCGUAGAGAUCGGGAGGAACAUCGGUGGCGAAGGCGGCCAUCUGGGACAAUACUGACGCUGAGGCACGAAAGCAUGGGGAGCAAACAGGACUAGAUACCCCGGUAGUCCCUGUCUCUUAUAC
rnacentral:rRNA from 1 species